UACAGAGGGGGCGAGCGUUGUUCGGAAUUACUGGGCGUAAAGGGUGCGUAGGCGGCGCGGUAAGUCGGGUGUGAAAUCUCGGGGCUUAACUCCGAAACUGCAUUCGAUACUGCCGUGCUUGAGGACUGGAGAGGAGACUGGAAUUUACGGUGUAGCGGUGAAAUGCGUAGAUAUCGGAAGGAACGCCGGUGGCGAAAGCGACGUGCUGGACCUCUUCUGACGCUGAGGCGCGAAAGCCAGGGGAGCAAACGGG
rnacentral:rRNA from 1 species